rnacentral:lncRNA from 1 species
AAUUCACUAAGUAAGCUAUAUGGCUGGAAAAUAAACAUAUGAAAUGAUGCUCUACUAUAUACAGAAAUAUAAUUAACUUUAUAUAUCGAUCUGGUAUCUUGGAACCUUGCUAAACUCCUGUAUUAGUUCUAGUAACUUAUUUAUGCACUCCAUAGGAUUUUCUUCACAGAAAUCAUGCCGUCUGUGAAUGAAGGGAGUUAUACUUCUUAUUUUCCAAAUGGAGAUUUUAUUUUUCUUGCAUGACUUCACUGGCUAGAACCACUACUACAAUGCUGAUUAGAAGUGAUAAGAAACAGAGGCAAAUGCAGGUUAAGGAACCUCACAGUAAGGGAUAAAACUCAUAUUUUAACCUGAUCUGCCUGAUUCUGGAGCCUGCACCAUCAUUCCAUUGUCGUGCUUGCCACAUGGUAAGGAUUUAACAGACAUUUAUUGAAUGAAUGAAUUUGGUAAACCUAACCAGGAUAGAAGAGGAGCACUCAGGAUUAUUGGAAACAAAGUAGGAAAGUUAGGCCCAGAUAUGGAGACUCUAGGACCCUGAGAAGUAGUUUAGACUGGAGGUGGCUGGGAAUAGGGAUUCAUCAUUGAUAACAUUUUUUAAAGAAGAUUAGAUUGGCAACAGUUCGUAUAACUUCUACACAGCUCUUUCUAUCUCAACCUUCAACUUGAAAAUAGAAUAUGUAGAAAAGGGCACAAUGAAACAUUUAUGAAAAAAUAUUAUUUUAAUGCAUAAACUUUAAAGGCUGAAAUUUUUUUUAACUGAAGAUCAUAUAUUCAUAAAUAACAAAAAGUGUAUAUUUUUUCAGAUAAUUUUAUGGCAUGACCAUUAAGAUUUUAUAUUUUAAAAACAAGAAUAGAUGUUUAAAAAAUGACUUACUUUCCACAGGAUAUUUAGGGGCAAAUCAUGUCUUAUUGAGAAUUUAAGUUACAGGUGCUUUAUCAAAACUCUUUUAAUUUUUUUUUGGCAGAUUUCUCUUUUAAAAAUCUUUUCUUCAAUCAGGGUUUUAGGGAUUGUGUAAAACCCAAAAUAAGAAAAUCAACUAUGUCAAUCAGUAACUUGUAAUGCUUUCUGCUGGUUCCAUGUUCACAAGGCAAAUACAGUUAUACAUCUUAACAACAAGGAGACAUUCUGAGAAAUGUGAUUUUUGUCAUUGUACAAACAUAAUAGAGUGUACUUACACAAAUUUAGGUGGUAUAGCCUACUACACACCUAGGAUAUAUGGUACAGCCUAUAGCUUCAAGACUACAAACCUGUACAGCAUGUUUCUGUACAUGAAUGUUGUAGGCAAUUGUAACACAGUGGUAAGUAUUUGUGUGUAUCUAAACAUAUGUAAACAUAGAACAGCUACAGUAAAAAUAUAGUAUUAUUAUCUUAUGGGACCACUAUGAUAUAUGAGGUUCAUUGUUGACCAAAAUGUUACAAGGGGCAUGACUGCAGUACUUUUUGUUGCAAACAAAGCCAUCUAUUGGCCCAAACAACUUACUGAAAAACUAUAUUGUUUAUCUCUAGGUGUGAAAUUCCACCUUUAACUAUGUUGAGGAUGGUCCAGACUUAAAAAUCAUUGCCCUCCAAGGUGAUUUGGCUACACUGGGUAAAUUCCAGGGAUUAUUUAAACAUAGUCACAGUUAGACUCAAUAAUAUUGUAGACAUCAUAAUAUUUCACUUCUUUUUCCACCUCCCAGGCUCAACCCCAUUUUUACUCCUAUUACUCUAAAGAGUGAUAAAUUGCAGUAAUAUCUCCCUUUUUAAAUUCUCACCCCAAAGUGCCUUAAUUAUUUUAGAGUUUAGGGUCUCUUGUUAUUGUAUCGUGUAUUUUUCUCACUUACCUUUUCUGCAGACAUGAACUAUGCCACUUAUGCACAUUGUGACAACUUAGAGACAAGCAUGAGUUUUAGUGACAUAGAAGAAACCAGACUAACAGGAAAAGACUUGCCUGCAUAGUUGAAAGACUCUCUUUGUUGCCCUGGGCAGCAUAUAUCUAAAUCUAUACAUUCCUGUUUUUAGAACAUGGGAAUACAAGGAUCGGAAGAUAUACAAAAUCAUACCUUACACUGCAGAAUGUCUUAAGUUUGAUCAGAACGUAGCAUAGAGUUUUUUAUCUGAAAUGGUAGAGCGUCUUCUAUCUUGGAAGUGAAAACAGUAGUCAUUUACCUAUAAUACAAGAAAUGCAAUUUAUGUUUUCAUUUAUAUGCUAUAAAAAGUUAUAUGACUGUUUUAUUCUCAUUAUCUCUUGUUCCCUCUCUUCUUCUCUCCCUCCCCCGAUUUUUCUAUAUGUAGAGUUUGAUAGGUGAUACAAGUAAUAGAAAGAAUUUACCACCCUUUCAAGAAUAUU